rnacentral:rRNA from 1 species
UUGACCUCGAAUCAGGUAGGAAUACCCGCUGAACUUAAGCAUAUCAAUAAGCGGAGGAAAAGAAACCAACCGGGAUUACCUCAGUAACGGCGAGUGAAGCGGUAACAGCUCAAAUUUGAAAUCUGGCUCUUCCGGAGUCCGAGUUGUAAUUUGUAGAAGAUGCUUUGGGUUGUGGGUUCGGCCUAAGUUCCUUGGAACAGGACGUCAUAGAGGGUGAGAAUCCCGUAUGUGGCCGAGGCCCGCGCCUAUGUAAAGCUCUUUCAACGAGUCGAGUUGUUUGGGAAUGCAGCUCAAAAUGGGUGGUAAAUUUCAUCUAAAGCUAAAUAUGGGCCAGAGACCGAUAGCGCACAAGUAGAGUGAUCGAAAGAUGAAAAGCACUUUGGAAAGAGAGUUAAACAGUACGUGAAAUUGUUGAAAGGGAAGCGCUUGCAACCAGACUUGGGCGCUGCCGAUCAUCUCGAGUUUUCUCGAGUGCACUCGACAGCGCACAGGCCAGCAUCGGUUCGGGUGGCUGGAUAAAGGCCGUAGGAACGUGGCUCCCUUCGGGGAGUGUUAUAGCCUACGGUGCCAUGCAGCCCAGCCGGACCGAGGACCGCGCCUUCGGGCUAGGAUGCUGGCGUAAUGGUUGUAAGCGACCCGUCUUGAAACACGGACCAAGGAGUCUAACAUCUAUGCGAGUGUUUGGGUGGUAAACCCAUACGCGGAAUGAAAGUGAACGUAGGUGAGAACCCCUUUGGGGCGCAUCAUCGACCGAUCCUGAUGUCUUCGGAUGGAUUUGAGUAAGAGCAUAGC